rnacentral:rRNA from 1 species
CAAUAGCGUAUAUUAAAGUUGUUGCGGUAAAAAAGCUCGUAGUUGGAUUUCUGUUGAGAGCGACCGGUCCAUACCAUGUAUGCGUAUCUGGCUUGCUCUCGGCAUCCUCCCGAUAGACGUUACUGCGCUUGAUUGCGUGGUGCGGAUCUCGGGACUUUUACUUUGAGGAAAUUAGAGUGUUCACGGCAGGCUUUCGCCAGAAUACAUUAGCAUGGAAUAAUACUAUAGGAUCUUGGUUCUAUUUUGUUGGUUUCUAGAAUUGAGAUAAUGAUUAAUAGGGACAAUUGGGGGCAUUCGUAUCAACACGUCAGAGGUGGAAUUCUUGGAUUGUGUUGCGACGAACUACUGCGAAAGCAUUUGCCAAGGAUGUUUUCAUUGA